CUAUAUACCCAUAUUUUGGGCCCAUAAAAGUGGCCCAUUACAGAGAAAACCCAAAGGAUCAAAGGCCCAGCACUUACAUAAUCCAACCCAAGGCCUAUUUCCAAUAAAAUAAGCCCUUUAGGUGACUUAUCUGCAUCAAGGUC